UUUUGUAUGUACCUUAUGAAUAAGGAUCGGCUAACUCCGUGCCAGCAGCCGCGGUAAUACGGAGGAUCCGAGCGUUAUCCGGAUUUAUUGGGUUUAAAGGGUGCGUAGGCGGCCUUUUAAGUCAGCGGUGAAAGUCUGUGGCUCAACCAUAGAAUUGCCGUUGAAACUGGGGGGCUUGAGUAUGUUUGAGGCAGGCGGAAUGCGUGGUGUAGCGGUGAAAUGCUUAGAUAUCACGCAGAACCCCGAUUGCGAAGGCAGCCUGCCAAGCCAUGACUGACGCUGAUGCACGAAAGCGUGGGGAUCAAACAGGAUUAGAUACCCUGGUAGUCCACGCAGUAAACGAUGAUCACUAGCUGUUUGCGAUACACGGUAAGCGGCACAGCGAAAGCGUUAAGUGAUCCACCUGGGGAGUACGCCGGCAACGGUGAAACUCAAAGGAAUUGACGGGGGCCCGCACAAGCGGAGGAACAUGUGGUUUAAUUCGAUGAUACGCGAGGAACCUUACCCGGGUUUGAACGCAUUCGGACCGAGGUGGAAACACCUUUUCUAGCAAUAGCCGUUUGCGAGGUGCUGCAUGGUUGUCGUCAGCUCGUGCCGUGAGGUGUCGGCUUAAGUGCCAUAACGAGCGCAACCCUUGCCACUAGUUACUAACAGGUGAUGCUGAGGACUCUGGUGGGACUGCCAGCGUAAGCUGCGAGGAAGGCGGGGAUGACGUCAAAUCAGCACGGCCCUUACAUCCGGGGCGACACACGUGUUACAAUGGCGUGGACAAAGGGAAGCCACCUGGCGACAGGGAGCGAAUCCCCAAACCACGUCUCAGUUCGGAUCGGAGUCUGCAACCCGACUCCGUGAAGCUGGAUUCGCUAGUAAUCGCGCAUCAGCCAUGGCGCGGUGAAUACGUUCCCGGGCCUUGUACACACCGCCCGUCAAGCCAUGGGAGCCGGGGGUACCUGAAGUCCGUAACCG
rnacentral:rRNA from 1 species